GCAAUAGCUCAGUUGCUUAGCGCGUGGUACUGAUAAUGCCAAGGUUGCAGGUUCAAUCCCCGUAUGGGACA